rnacentral:misc_RNA from 1 species
GUGCAGUUUUUGUAACCAGAACGAGAACAUACAACAUCUUUUCUUUGAUUGCUACAUAGCUAAAACUGUUUGGAGAAUUAUUUAUUUUACUUUAAAAAUAGACCCACCCGUUAAUAUUAAUCAUAUUAUGGGGGACUGGGAAUCCAACAAAGGUUGUAUGCAUAAAAAGCUACUUCUUUCUGGCGUUGCAGCUUUGUUUUGGUCGAUUUGGCUUUGCCGUAAUGAUGUGGUGUUUAAUCAUAACCAUAUACCAUCAAUUAUACAGGUGAUUUUCAGAGGUACACAUUGGUUCAGAUUUUGGAGACUCCUACAGAAGGAAGAAACACAACAGCAAAUCCAUGUUGUGUGUCAGUCUUUGGAGGUGGUGGCCAUGGAGGUCUUCGCGAGCCACGGGUGGCGGUCUAAUUCAAGGAUUGACGCGGUUUAGUGUUUGUGUUCUUAUAUUCCAUAGCAUGUUUUAAGUUGAAGUUUGUUUGAUUCACAAACUGUUGAGAUGAUGUAUUAUUUGAGCUGUAUGGCUGUAUGCAUGAACAUGCAAAAGGCCGG